rnacentral:misc_RNA from 1 species
UCGUCGGGCUUCCCAGCCCUGUCGAGAUAGCACCCUUUGUCCUUUUGGCGCACUUGUCUUGUUUCCUCGGGCUGGCACCCCCAGCCCACGAGGACCAACAAUCAAACCUUUUGCAGUUUCUGUCACAGUCUGAUCUAAACAAAAUCGUAA